UACGUAGGAGGCAAGCGUUGUCCGGAAUUACUGGGCGUAAAGCGCGUGUAGGUGGUGGGACAAGUCUGCUGUGAAAGCGCCUGGCUUAACCGGGUGAGGUCGGCGGAAACUGUUCGACUCGAGGACGGUAGAGGGGGUGGAAUUCCCGGUGUAGUGGUGAAAUGCGUAGAGAUCGGGAGGAACACCUGUGGCGAAGGCGGCCCCCUGGGCCGGCCCUGACACUGAGACGCGAAGGCGUGGGGAGCGAACGGG
rnacentral:rRNA from 1 species